rnacentral:rRNA from 1 species
CUGGAGGUAUCAGAAGUGCGAAUGCUGACAUAAGUAACGAUAAAGCGGGUGAAAAGCCCGCUCGCCGGAAGACCAAGGGUUCCUGUCCAACGUUAAUCGGGGCAGGGUGAGUCGACCCCUAAGGCGAGGCCGAAAGGCGUAGUCGAUGGGAAACGGGUUAAUAUUCCCGUACUUGGUGUUACUGCGAAGGGGGGACGGAGAAGGCUAUGUUGGCCGGGCGACGGUUGUCCCGG